UACGUAGGUGACAAGCGUUGUCCGGAUUUACUGGGCGUAAAGAGCGCGCAGGCGGUCGUUCAAGUCGAGUGUGAAAGCCCCCGGCUCAACUGGGGAGGGUCAUUCGAUACUGAUCGACUGGAAGGCAGGAGAGGGAAGUGGAAUUCCCGGUGUAGUGGUGAAAUGCGUAGAUAUCGGGAGGAACACCAGUGGCGAAGGCGACUACCUGGCCUGUUCUUGACGCUGAGGCGCGAAAGCUAGGGGAGCAAACGGG
rnacentral:rRNA from 1 species